AGUGAACGCUGGCGGUAGGCCUAACACAUGCAAGUCGAACGGCAGCACAGUAAGAGCUUGCUCUUACGGGUGGCGAGUGGCGGACGGGUGAGGAAUACAUCGGAAUCUACUUUUUCGUGGGGGAUAACGUAGGGAAACUUACGCUAAUACCACAUACGACCUACGGGUGAAAGCAGGGGAUCUUCGGACCUUGCGCGAUUGAAUGAGCCGAUGUCGGAUUAGCUAGUUGGCGGGGUAAAGGCCCACCAAGGCGACGAUCCGUAGCUGGUCUGAGAGGAUGAUCAGCCACACUGGAACUGAGACACGGUCCAGACUCCUACGGGAGGCAGCAGUGGGGAAAAUUGGACAAUGGGCGCAAGCCUGAUCCAGCCAUACCGCGUGGGUGAAGAAGGCCUUCGGGUUGUAAAGCCCUUUUGUUGGGAAAGAAAAGCAGCAGGUUAAUACCCCGCUGUUCUGACGGUACCCAAAGAAUAAGCACCGGCUAACUUCGUG
rnacentral:rRNA from 1 species